rnacentral:rRNA from 1 species
UACGGGGGGAGCAAGCGUUGUUCGGAUUUACUGGGCGUAAAGGGCGCGUAGGCGGUCAGCCCAAGUCACUUGUGAAAUCUCUGGGCUUAACCCAGAACGGCCAAGUGAAACUGUCGAGCUAGAGUGUAGAAGGGGCAAUCGGAAUUCUUGGUGUAGCGGUGAAAUGCGUAGAUAUCAAGAGGAACACCUGAGGUGAAGACGGGUUGCUGGUCUAACACUGACGCUGAGGCGCGAAAGCCAGGGGAGCAAACGGG